GACGAACGCUGGCGGCGUGCUUAACACAUGCAAGUCGAACGGAAAGGCCCUGCUUUGGUGGGGUGCUCGAGUGGCGAACGGGUGAGUAACACGUGAGUAACCUGCCCUGGACUGUGGGAUAACUUCUGGAAACGGGGGCUAAUACCGGAUAGGAGCUCCUGCUGCAUGGUGGGGGUUGGAAAGGUUCGGCGGUUGGGGUUGGACUCGGGGCUUAUCCGCUUUUUGGUGGGGUAGUGGCUUACCAAGGCUUUGACGGGUAGCCGUCCUGAGAGGGUGACCGGCCACAGUGGGCCUGAGAUACGGGCAAGAGUGAUACGGGAGGAAGCGGUGGAGAAUAUUGCACGAUGGGCGGCGGCCUGAUGCAGCAACGCCGCGUGGGGGAUGACGGCCUUAGGGUUGUAAACCGCUUGCGCCUGUGAAGAAGAGUGAGUGACGGUAAUGGGUCAAGAAGCAACGGCUAACUACGUG
rnacentral:rRNA from 1 species